rnacentral:sRNA from 2 species
AUAUAUGUAACGCUUAAUCACUUUGAACGGGAGAACCAUUUUUUGGGGUGAAUCUUAUUACACGAUAAUAAGUAGGGUUAAUUUUCUUCAAUCCGAAUCCGUCAGCUAAUCUCGUAAGCGUAGAAGAGAAGUUUU